UACGAAGGGGGCUAGCGUUGCUCGGAUUGACUGGGCGUAAAGGGCGCGUAGGCGGUUUGUACAGUCAGACGUGAAAUUCCUGGGCUCAACCUGGGGGCUGCGUUUGAUACGUGCAGACUUGAGUUCGGAAGAGGGUCGUGGAAUUCCCAGUGUAGAGGUGAAAUUCGUAGAUAUUGGGAAGAACACCGGUGGCGAAGGCGGCGACCUGGUCCGAUACUGACGCUGAGGCGCGAGAGCGUGGGGAGCAAACAGG
rnacentral:rRNA from 1 species